rnacentral:tmRNA from 1 species
CGCUCGUAGAUGUUCGCGAAUCUAAUCUUUCGGACGCGGGUUCGAGUCCCGCCAUCUCCACCU